rnacentral:misc_RNA from 1 species
GAUGAAGAACGUAGCGAAAUGCGAUACUUGGUGUGAAUUGCAGAAUCCCGUGAACCAUCGAGUCUUUGAACGCGAGUUGCGACCGAAGCCAUUAGGCCGAGGGCACGCCUGCCUGGGCGUCACACGUCGUUGCCCCCCCAUCUACUCCUUCGGGAUUGCGGGGGGCGGAUGAUGGCCUCCCGUGCGCCUCGUCGCGCGGUUGGCAUAAAUGCCAAGUCCUCGGCGACGCACGCCACGACAAUCGGUGGUUGCGAAACCUCGGUUGCCCGUCGUGUGCGGUCGUCGUGCAUCGAGGGCUCGAAAAAAUUGCCGGGCUCCGGCUCGGCUUUCAACGCGACCCCAGGUCAGGCGGGGUUACCCGCUGAAUUUAAGCAUAUCAAUAAGCGGAGGA